UCUCCAGUCGAGUUGAGGUUUGAACCCGG
rnacentral:piRNA from 1 species